rnacentral:rRNA from 1 species
GACGAACGCUGGCGGCGUGCUUAACACAUGCAAGUCGAACGGAAAGGCCCCCAUCUUGGUGGGGGUGCUCGAGUGGCGAACGGGUGAGUAACACGUGGGUGAUCUGCCCUGUACUUCGGGAUAAGCUUGGGAAACUGGGUCUAAUACCGGAUAGGACCAUGGUUUAGUGUCUCAUGGUGGAAAGAUUAUUGUUUUGGUGCAGGAUGAGCUCGCGGCCUAUCAGCUUGUUGGUGGGGUAAUGGCCUACCAAGGCGUCGACGGGUAGCCGGCCUGAGAGGGUGGACGGCCACAUUGGGACUGAGAUACGGCCCAGACUCCUACGGGAGGCAGCAGUGGGGAAUAUUGCACAAUGGGCGCAAGCCUGAUGCAGCGACGCCGCGUGGGGGAUGACGGCCUUCGGGUUGUAAACUCCUUUCGUGAGGGACGAAGCCGCACUUUUUUGGGUGUGGUGACGGUACCUUUGUUAAGAAGCACCGGCUAACUACGUG